AGAGUUUGAUCAUGGCUCAGAUUGAACGCUGGCGGCAGGCCUAACACAUGCAAGUCGAACGGUAACAGGAAGAAGCUUGCUUCUUUGCUGACGAGUGGCGGACGGGUGAGUAAUGUCUGGGAAACUGCCUGAUGGAGGGGGAUAACUACUGGAAACGGUAGCUAAUACCGCAUAACGUCGCAAGACCAAAGAGGGGGACCUUCGGGCCUCUUGCCAUCGGAUGUGCCCAGAUGGGAUUAGCUAGUAGGUGGGGUAACGGCUCACCUAGGCGACGAUCCCUAGCUGGUCUGAGAGGAUGACCAGCCACACUGGAACUGAGACACGGUCCAGACUCCUACGGGAGGCAGCAGUGGGGAAUAUUGCACAAUGGGCGCAAGCCUGAUGCAGCCAUGCCGCGUGUAUGAAGAAGGCCUUCGGGUUGUAAAGUACUUUCAGCGGGGAGGAAGGGAGUAAAGUUAAUACCUUUGCUCAUUGACGUUACCCGCAGAAGAAGCACCGGCUAACUCCGUGCCAGCAGCCGCGGUAAUACGGAGGGUGCAAGCGUCAAUCGGAAUUACUGGGCGUAAAGCGCACGCAGGCGGUUUGUUAAGUCAGAUGUGAAAUCCCCGGGCUCAACCUGGGAACUGCAUCUGAUACUGGCAAGCUUGAGUCUCGUAGAGGGGGGUAGAAUUCCAGGUGUAGCGGUGAAAUGCGUAGAGAUCUGGAGGAAUACCGGUGGCGAAGGCGGCCCCCUGGACGAAGACUGACGCUCAGGUGCGAAAGCGUGGGGAGCGAACAGGAUUAGAUACCCUGGUAGUCCACGCCGUAAACGAUGUCGACUUGGAGGUUGUGCCCUUGAGGCGUGGCUUCCGGAGCUAACGCGUUAAGUCGACCGCCUGGGGAGUACGGCCGCAAGGUUAAAACUCAAAUGAAUUGACGGGGGCCCGCACAAGCGGUGGAGCAUGUGGUUUAAUUCGAUGCAACGCGAAGAACCUUACCUGGUCUUGACAUCCACGGAAGUUUUCAGAGAUGAGAAUGUGCCUUCGGGAACCGUGAGACAGGUGCUGCAUGGCUGUCGUCAGCUCGUGUUGUGAAAUGUUGGGUUAAGUCCCGCAACGAGCGCAACCCUUAUCCUUUGUUGCCAGCGGUCCGGCCGGGAACUCAAAGGAGACUGCCAGUGAUAAACUGGAGGAAGGUGGGGAUGACGUCAAGUCAUCAUGGCCCUUACGGCCAGGGCUACACACGUGCUACAAUGGCGCAUACAAAGAGAAGCGACCUCGCGAGAGCAAGCGGACCUCAUAAAGUGCGUCGUAGUCCGGAUUGGAGUCUGCAACACGACUCCAUGAAGUCGGAAUCGCUAGUAAUCGUGGAUCAGAAUGCCACGGUGAAUACGUUCCCGGGCCUUGUACACACCGCCCGUCACACCAUGGGAGUGGGUUGCAAAAGAAGUAGGUAGCUUAACCUUCGGGAGGGCGCUUACCACUUUGUGAUUCAUGACUGGGGUGAAGUCGUAACAAGGUA
rnacentral:rRNA from 1 species